GCGAAGCUGCGUCGUUCGUCAGGAGCCAUAAUAUCCCCGGGGCCUUAUCGAUCCUUUAGGGAACUGUCCCUGGCCGGGUCCGUGGACCCGGUCAUAUGGUGCCCACCUACUUUCGUAGGGAACUCCGGGAUCGAGUGCUUCAACGGCGAUCGCGGCCUCGCA
rfam:Afipia sp. GAS231 genome assembly, chromosome: I